AGCAUAAAAGGCGAAGGAACCUUCCAGUCCUUCCAUUUUCUUCUCCCAUCCAACCGAGGAUGCCGACGACUCGAAUGUGCUGCUCUGGAAUGCAGGACAGAUGCCGGGAAGUCCAGAAGAAUGACACGUCUGCAUUACUUGUGACAUGACUUCCUGACUUCAAGGCAUCUGAACAGACUCUCCACUUGGAGUUCCAUUCUGGAAUAGGAAUGUGGUGCUGAAUACCUGAUUCCAGACCACGACUGGUGCGAUUUGUGAAAAUCCAGACGUGGGGAUGAAGUUUCCUGAAUGGAUUAACACGCCCUUCACUGGGUCUGGGUGCUGUGGUCAGUGGCAUUGCACCGUGGACUCCAACAUACUGACUGUAACCUGAAGCUUUUGUCUUCCUAGGUUCUUCUGUAUGUGGCUGAACAGGAAGCCGUGAUGCCAACUAGACUGACUCCUCUCCUUCAGGUCCUGAUGGUGGUACCAGACAAGUCACUAGAAGAUGCCUGUUACUGAACUACCUCAAGGUUCUGACUGUUGUACCAGACUGGCCACUAGAAGGAAGCUCUUUGCUGUGACAGUGAAUGAAGGUGUGGAAUCCAAGUUAUUUUGAUGUCCUUGUGGGUCUGCAGUCUUCAGGAAGGUUUCUGCCCCUCUGGUUGAGGUCCUGGUGUCUACAGGGUUUGGAAAGGUCCUGACUGUUCCAGCCUGGCCACUGGAGAACUGUUGCUGCACGACCUCAAGGUUUCUGCCCCUGGUUGAGGUCCUGGUGUCUGCAGGGUUUGGAAAGAUCUGGUUGGCUGCUGAGGUGUUGCUGUGCUGGUGGAGUGGGAAGCUCUCCUGUUUUACACCUGCAAGCCCUCGUACACUCCUGAUUGGUCAGCAAGGAAGUGGGAUGUCUCGGUGGAACUGGGGGGAAACCAGGCCAAGUCAAUUCAACCCUGUGACUGUUCUGAUGUGUAAAUAAACCUACAAAUUAA